GACGAACGCUGGCGGCAGGCCUAACACAUGCAAGUCGGGCGCGCGGCGGACGGGUGAGUAAUGUAUGGGGAUCUGCCUGAUGGCGGGGGAUAACUACUGGAAACGGUAGCUAAUACUGCAUACCAUCAGAUGAACCCACAUGGGAUUAGCUAGUAGGUAAGGUAACGGCUUACCUAGGCGACGAUCCCUAGCUGAUCUGAGAGGCUGAUCAGCCACACUGGGACUGGGACACGGCCCAGACUCCUACGGGAGGCAGCAGUAGGGAAUAUUGCACAAUGGGCGCAAGCCUGAUGCAGCCAUGCCGCGUGUGUGAAGAAGGCCUUCGGGUUGUAAAGUACUUUCAGUCGAGAGGCGUUGCCGACAGAAGAAGCACCGGCUAACUCCGUGCCAGCAGCCGCGGUAAUUC
rnacentral:rRNA from 1 species